rnacentral:rRNA from 1 species
AGAACGAACGCUGGCGGCACGCCUAACACAUGCAAGUCGAGCGCCCAGCAAUGGGAGCGGCGGACGGGUGAGGAACACGUGGGAACAUGCCUUUUGGUUCGGAACAACGCAGGGAAACUUGCGCUAAUACCGAAUGUGCCCUUACGGGGAAAGAUUUAUCGCCAAAGGAUUAGCCCGCGUAGGAUUAGCUAGUUGGUGAGGUAAUGGCUCACCAAGGCUCCGAUCCUUAGCUGUUCUGAGAGGAAGAUCAGCCACACUGGGACUGAGACACGGCCCAGACUCCUACGGGAGGCAGCAGUUGGGAAUCUUGGACAAUGGGGGAAACCCUGAUCCAGCCAUGCCGCGUGAGUGAUGAAGGCCUUCGGGUUGUAAAACUCGUUUCGACGGGACGAUAAUGACGGUACCCGUAGAAGAGCUCCGGCUACUUCGCGCCAGCAGCCGC